GAUGAACGCUGGCGGCGUGCCUAAUACAUGCAAGUCGAGCGACCAGACGAUGAGCUCGCUCUCUUGACGUUAGCGGCUGACGGGCGAGUAACACGUGCAUCACCUUCCUCUUUGUCUGGGAUAACUUCGUGAAACCGCUUCUACUACUGGCUCAUAUAUUCUACCGCUUGGUUCAAUAGUUCAUCACGCCUUUCCCGUCUCUUUUAGCUGAUUUCGCGUCGCCUUAUCUAGUUGGUAAGGUAACGGCUUACCAAGGCGGCGAUGCGUAGCCGACCUGAGAGGGGGAAUCGGCAAACUGGAAAUGAGAAAAGGUCCAGAAUCCUAAGGGAGGGAGGAGUGGGGAAUAUUGGCGCAAGGGGGGAAGGCUGAACGAGGCAACCCGGGGGGGUGAAGAAGGCCUUCGGGUUGUAAAACCCUUUUAUUAGGGAAGAAAAAAAGUGUAAGAAACUAUGCACGUCUUGACGGUACCUAAAGAGAAAGCCACGGCUAACUACGUG
rnacentral:rRNA from 1 species